rnacentral:tRNA from 1 species
GUAGGAUGUGGCUCAAUGGUAGAGUGCAUGCCUUACAUGUGUAAAGCACUGGGUUCGAUCCUCAGCACCACA